CCUGCCCAAAAUAAAUACAUCAAAAUCCAUGAAGACAUCCAAAACAAGGAGUGGGGCUAACAUAAACAACUUCCCAGGCUGGCCAUGACAAAUACGACGACAAUAUACCACUGGGAUAAGAUGAACGAGAAGGAAAAAGAAGAGUGCCACCAUGAUCCAACAGAGUAGUCCUUAUGCAUCAACAUCUGCUCCCAUGAAAAGAAAGAAAAA
rnacentral:lncRNA from 1 species